GGGGCAAAGCGAAAUAAAUCCAGCGGGAUUUAGGACCGGGAAGCUUCUAACCCCGUCCACAAUGCAUACUAUUGUACUAAAGAGUAGACGAGGAGAGUACGCUAGGAGCGGAUGUGUACUUUUCUGGCGUACUGUUUAGUACAGUAGUGUGUAUGGACCAAGCUGGAGGGACUGAACCUGUUCUGGACCACAGUGAUGCUGGGACUCCGGGUUUCAUCGUUUGUUUUCUUCAUGUUUGUCUUCGUUGUUGAAACGACAGCAAACGAAAGGCCGUAUGCGGUGCUUCAGAAUCAAAAUUUAGUGUUGCUCAUCAGCGUGCUGGCUGUUCUCCUGGUGGCUGUGAUAGUCAUGGCGGUGUGUGUGUACAAGCCGCUGAGAGCUCGGUGACUGAGACGGUGGAGAAUGAAGACCUGAGGAGGAGGACUGGAGGAUCCGAGCGUCAGAUAGACGACUUGACCCUCCUUCGCCCUGCCUCCUGCUUACACGCCGUGGAAGAAACCGCCAUCCAUCUCUUUCCUGCGCUCUGAUUGGAUUAGGACAUGCGGUUUAAAACCCCGCGGUUGCACACGAGGCUAUGUUUAGAAGGUCAUCAGCAUCCACGUUCUGCUCCAUAAUGAGUUAUCUGGUGUUCCAUAAGUGGGUCUGAUGAUGAACGGCAGCAUCAGAAGCGCUUGUGUUUGAAUUGCGCCAUCUGCUGGUCACAGAAGUGAGACACUCGGAGAUUUAAAAAUUAUAUAAUAUAUAUAAAUAAAAUAAAAUCUCCAUCCUUCAAGUCAUAUAAAGUGCUUUUAUUAUUAUUUUAUAUAUGUUACCUUUAACACACUGUACAUUUCUCCACACGCUCAGCUCAGAAAACAGUUAAUUAGCUGCGAAAACUAGCCAGUGAGAAACCCUGAUAUGGUAAAAAAAAAAAAAAAAAUGCAUUAUGUUUGGCAGUUCAUUCCUUUAAAAACCCAAGAAACCACCAGAAAUAAAAAAUGUGACGUUCCUGAACACUGCCUGUAUAACUG